GACGAACGCUGGCGGCGUGCUUAACACAUGCAAGUCGAACGGAAAGGCCCUGCUUGCAGGGUACUCGAGUGGCGAACGGGUGAGUAACACGUGGGUGAUCUGCCCUGCACUUCGGGAUAAGCCUGGGAAACUGGGUCUAAUACCGGAUAGGAGCCAUUUUUAGUGUGAUGGUUGGAAAGUUUUUUCGGUGUAGGAUGAGCUCGCGGCCUAUCAGCUUGUUGGUGGGGUAAUGGCCUACCAAGGCGGCGACGGGUAGCCGGCCUGAGAGGGUGGACGGCCACAUUGGGACUGAGAGGCGGCCCAGACACCUACGGGAGGCAGCAGGGGGGAAGAUUGCACAAUGGGCGCAAGCCUGAUGCAGCGACGCCGCGGGGGGUAGGACGGCCUUCGGGUUGUAAACUCCUUUCGCUAGGGACGAAGCUUUUUGUGACGGUACCUAGAUAAGAAGCACCGGCUAACUACGUG
rnacentral:rRNA from 1 species